UACGUAGGGCGCAAGCGUUGUCCGGAAUUAUUGGGCGUAAAGAGCUCGUAGGCGGUCUGUUGCGUCUGCCGUGAAAUCCCGAGGCUUAACCUCGGGCCUGCGGUGGAUACGGGCAGACUAGAGGUAGGUAGGGGAGAACGGAAUUCCCGGUGUAGCGGUGAAAUGCGCAGAUAUCAGGAGGAACACCGGUGGCGAAGGCGGGUCUCUGGGACGUGACUGACGCUGAGACGCGAAAGCGUGGGGAGCAAACAGG
rnacentral:rRNA from 1 species